rnacentral:rRNA from 1 species
CCUACGGGGGGCAGCAGUGGGGAAUAUUGGACAAUGGGGGGAACCCUGAUCCAGCCAUGCCGCGUGUGUGAAGAAGGCCCUCGGGUUGUAAAGCACUUUCAGUGAGGAAGAACGCCUGGUGGUUAAUACCCAUCAGGAAAGACAUCACUCACAGAAGAAGCACCGGCUAACUCCGUGCCAGCAGCCGCGGUAAUACGGAGGGUGCGAGCGUUAAUCGGAAUUACUGGGCGUAAAGCGCGCGUAGGUGGCUUGAUAAGCCGGUUGUGAAAGCCCCGGGCUCAACCUGAGAACGGCAUCCGGAACUGUCAAGCUAGAGUGCAGGAGAGGAAGGUAGAAUUCCCGGUGUAGCGGUGAAAUGCGUAGAGAUCGGGAGGAAUACCAGUGGCGAAGGCGGCCUUCUGGACUGACACUGACACUGAGGUGCGAAAGCGUGGGUAGCAAACAGGAUUAGAUACCCCAGUAGUC